UCCGGGCCGACCCGCACACUAUGAUCCCGUGCGGUGCGGGAGAGCGGCACGGCGGCGGAGAAACCUCGGCGACCAGACGACGGCGCAGGUUGACUCCGGUCCGGCGUGGUGAAUCUGCAGCGGCGGUUAGAUCAAGGCAAGGAUUGGUCGGAAAGCUGGGCUGUACAUAAACUCAAAGAAGUUUGGCGGCGAUGUUAAGCCGUGCAUGCUGGAGAUGACGGCCUUCCUCAACUGCCCCGCCUUGAACAAGCAGAUCGAUCAAAGCACCAAUUGGCAGUGAGAGGUAGAAGGGGAAUGUUGACACCGUGUUCCAUGCUCCUUCAGACAUGGAGUCCAGGCGCGCACGGCUCCGUCGCCCCGCGCGCUCCAUUGGAGGAGCCCCCGCCCUGCGCGUGGCCGCCUUGGAGCUGGAGCGCUUCCUGCCCCACGCCCCUUGUCUGCUCUGGCGGCGGGUUCCUCCUGGCCGCGAUGAUGCCCGAGGCCGGCCGCUACACCCGCAAGAAGGAUGACGGCAUCUGCAACAGACGACGAGCGCGGCGACGAGUCCGACCAGGGCGCGCUGGCAGAGGAGGCCCAUGAGCUCGCCGCCCCUGAUGGCGAGGGCGUGCGCGACUUGGAUGGUGGCCGCCAAGGCCAACGCCGGUGAGGACGUCGUCCCGGAGUUCAUUGGGGGGCUCAUCCCAUUUGACAAGG